AUUGAACGCUGGCGGCAUGCUUUACACAUGCAAGUCGAACGGUAACAGGCCGCAAGGUGCUGACGAGUGGCGAACGGGUGAGUAAUGCAUCGGAACGUGCCCAGUCGUGGGGGAUAACUACUCGAAAGAGUAGCUAAUACCGCAUACGAUCUAUGGAUGAAAGCGGGGGACCGGAAGGCCUCGCGCGAUUGGAGCGGCCGAUGUCAGAUUAGGUAGUUGGUGGGGGAAAGGCUCACCAAGCCAACGAUCUGUAGCGGGUCUGAGAGGACAACCAGCCACACUGGGACUGGGACACGGCCCCGACUCCUACGGGAGGCAGCAGUGGGGAAUUUUGGACAAUGGGCGCAAGCCUGAUCCAGCAAUGCCGCGUGCAGGAAGAAGGCCUUCGGGUUGUAAACUGCUUUUGUACGGAACGAAACGGCUCUGGUUAAUACCCGGGGCUAAUGACGGUACCGUAAGAAUAAGCACCGGCUAACUACGUG
rnacentral:rRNA from 1 species